rnacentral:rRNA from 1 species
UACGAAGGGUGCAAACGUUGCUCGGAAUUAUUGGGCGUAAAGCGCACGUAGGCGGCUUAGCAAGUCGGAUGUGAAAUCCCUCGGCUCAACCAAGGAAGUGCAUCCGAAACUGCUGAGCUUGAGUACUAAAGAGGAUCGCGGAAUUCCAGGUGUAGCGGUGAAAUGCGUAGAUAUCUGGAGGAAUACCGGUGGCGAAGGCGGCAUCCUGGACCGAGAUUGACACUGAGGAGCGAAAGCCAGGGGAGCAAACGGG